rnacentral:rRNA from 1 species
AACGAACGCUGGUGGCGUGCUUGACACAUGCAAGUCGAACGAGAAAGUUUCCUUCGGGAAAUUAGUAAAGUGGCGCAAGGGUGAGUAUCACGUGAAUAAUCUGCCCUCGAGAUCGGGAUAACAUGGUGAAAACUAUGCUAAUACCGGAUAAGACCACAUUUCACAAGAAAUGCGGAAAAAGGAGUCUCAAUCUCCACUCGAGGAUGAGUUCGCGGACCAUUAGCUUGUUGGUGAGAUAAAGCUCACCAAGGCUACGAUGGUUAGCCGGCCUGAGAGGGUGAACGGCCACACUGGAACUGAGACACGGUCCAGACUCCUACGGGAGGCAGCAGUGGGGAAUAUUGCGCAAUGGGCGAAAGCCUGACGCAGCAACGCCGUGUGAGCGAUG